rnacentral:rRNA from 1 species
CCAUCCCGCGUGUAGAAGAAAGCCUUUCGGUUUUUAAACUCUUUUAGGCAGGGAAGAAAAGUUACCUCUUAUUCCCAGGUUGUUUGGACGGUAUUUGCAGAAUAAGCACCGGCUAACUACGUGCCAGCAGCCGCGGUAAUACAGAGGGUGCAAGCGUUAAUCGGAAUUACUGGGCGUAAAGCGCGUGUAGGCGGUU